AACUACCUGGGAGGCUGAAUCCGACGUAAUCCUUGUCAAUAAUUAUCGGUACCUGAUAUUGUAUCAGUUUUAGGUUGGGCUUUAGACCGGUAACUGCUGUUUUCUGAUCAAAAUAAGAUGGUGAACCGUGUUUAUUUCAAUUUUAUAGGAACUUUUUAUUUCACCCGUUCAGUGUAAAGCAUGGGCAACGCUGCUAUGUUCUGGAAUGUCACAUUUCUAGCGUGGAUUGGUCUAUGGUUAUCGGAUGUUCCAGGGAAUGUCAAUGGUACUUGAUGUCAUCCCAGUAAGUGGUAUCCCGUGAUGCACCAGAUCAACAAUGGUUUACAGGCGAUUUCAACCACAGCCCACUAUCCUGCGAUGAUUAUAAUUGUGAAACAAUGAGGAACUAUGACAGUAGUAUCUACAUAACAAUGCCAUUAUCUGAAAAUCAACAUGUCCAAAAAAGAGCGCCAAAAAGCAAGAUUAUGAAGGCGUCUUAGCUGAUUUUAGUUAGAGCGUGACUGUUUUGUUUAAUUAGUGUUAAAAUAAAGUUUUAAAAAGUGGAUUCUAUAUUGUACUUUCGUUCGUUUUAGGACUGGUUUGAAUUGGUCAAUUAUUGAUGUACUGUUUAAUCACAUUUGUUACUAGUCGU